rnacentral:rRNA from 1 species
UACGUAGGCAGCAAGCGUUGUUCGGAAUUACUGGGCGUAAAGAGUGUGUAGGCGGUGCUCUAAGUUCGGUGUGAAAUCUCCCGGCUUAACUGGGAGGGUGCGCCGGAAACUGGAGUGCUCGAGCGUGGGAGAGGAAAGCGGAAUCCUGGUGUAGCGGUGAAAUGCGUAGAUAUCAGGAGGAACACCGGUGGUGUAGACGGCUUACUGGACCACGACUGACACUGAGGCACGAAAGCGUGGGUAGCAAACAGG